rnacentral:lncRNA from 1 species
CCUUUAGUGAUUACACACGUUUAAGGCUUCCACAAACCAUGAGUGACACCUUGCAGCAUAUCAUGGUUACCCAAGCUAAUCAGAAGAGGUAGAGAAAACCUAUUCAGUUUGGUAUUACAAAUGCAAUACGGUCUUUCUCUAAUCUAAUACUUCUGACCACAUUGUUUGGUUUGAUAGUUUAUUUAUCCAUGUCUACUAUCCAAUGUGAUUC